UCGGGAAUUUUGGGCAAUGGGCGAAAGCCUGACCCAGCAACGCCGCGUGAAGGAUGAAGUAUUUCGGUAUGUAAACUUCGAAAGAAUAGGAAGAAUAAAUGACGGUACUAUUUAUAAGGUCCGGCUAACUACGUGCCAGCAGCCGCGGUAAUACGUAGGGACCAAGCGUUGUUCGGAUUUACUGGGCGUAAAGGGCGCGUAGGCGGCAAUUCAAGUCAUCUGUGAAAUCUCCGGGCUUAACUCGGAACGGUCAGAUGAUACUGCUUUGCUAGAGUGCAGAGGGGGCAAUCGGAAUUCUUGGUGUAGCGGUGAAAUGCGUAGAUAUCAAGAGGAACACCUGAGGCGAAGGCGGGUUGCUGGGCUGAUACUGACGCUGAGGCGCGAAAGCUAGGGUAGCAAACGGGAUUAGAUACCCCAGUAGUCCCUGAGCGGGCUGGCAAGGCGCAU
rnacentral:rRNA from 1 species